rnacentral:snRNA from 1 species
GUGCUCACUUCGGCAGUACAUAUACUAAAAUUGGAACGAUACAGAGAAGAUUAGCAUGGCCCCUGCGCAAUUUAAUAAUAUAAAAAAAAAAAAGAAAGAAAAAUGAAUU